UACGUAGGAGGCAAGCGUUGUCCGGAAUUACUGGGCGUAAAGCGCGUGUAGGUGGUGGGACAAGUCUGCUGUGAAAGCGCCUGGCUUAACCGGGCGAGGUCGGCGGAAACUGUUCGACUCGAGGACGGUAGAGGGGGGUGGAAUUCCGCGUGUAGCAGUGAAAUGCGUAGAGAUGCGGAGGAACACCGAUGGCGAAGGCAGCCCCCUGGGCUAACACUGACGCUCAGGCACGAAAGCGUGGGGAGCAAACAGG
rnacentral:rRNA from 1 species